UUUGACGUUUCGAAAAUGAACAGCUCCUGCCUGGUUUAUUUUACUCAGCCGUGGUGAAAUUCAAUUUUGUUGUGAGGUAGCAUGCAUCAGUUGGUACGUAUUUCUACCAAUUCCUUGUACCGCGCUAAAAGGGUAUAUUAUUCAUACACACAGUGGCGCCUCUAACUCAAAAAACGUUUUUUUGUAGAUAUCGGCGCCAAUUCGUUCGGGCGCCACACUUACCCAAAGUGUCCAUACUGAAAAGGUAGCACUACAUACACACGCGCGUACUAAAAACAUAUAUUACAACCAUAUAAGCAGGUGUCUAACCUUGCAUAUUGUAAAACGUAACAGCCGGAUUUGCUUAGCUAAAGGUGACUCCAACACAAAAACGACUGACUUGGACACUUUUUUUUUAAAUAUUUGUUUCAGCCGGUGACACCGAGUGUAGGGUUUUUUUUGUACUGUUCUUCUUCCCUGCUUUUUUUGACACAAUUCGUAACAGUGAUACCAUACAGACAAUCAAUAUAAUUCUUAAUUUAUGGUCCAUUUUCAUUUUCUUCGAGAAAAUUUUCUGGAAAAUGUAGCACAAAUUUACAUUGUACAUCGGUAUAGAAAACGUAAAACAAUAUUUUAUUUGCGCGAUUGAUUUAACUACGACAAAAAUGGUAAAUUCUAUUUUAGCAGUAAUGAGUUCUCUUCUUUACACAAAAACAAUAAUUGUACAAACUUUCGUUUUGGUUUCAAUCACAUUUGAAUCAAUUAAAAAAAAAAAAAAAAAUUAAAAAUCACAAAAUAAGAAAAUAUCAUUCAAAGAACGUGAACGUAAGAAAAAUGGAUUAAAUGAAAAUAUCACAUCUUGCAUAUUAAUUCCCAAAGACAAUAAUCGAAAGUGAAGAUAAAUUCGGUUGCUAAAAUUUUAAAAUUUUUCGUUUUUUUUUUUGUUUCAUCAACUUAAGAGAAAAAAAAUCAUUAAAAAUCAACAUGGAAAAGGACAUUCAAUCUUCAAUUUCGAUUUAUUGUAGCUUAGAGUGCCUCUACUAUUAAAUUAAAUUAAACACAAGACUUAUAUAUAAAAAAAAAUUAUUGAACAUAAAAAAGACACACACACACGCAUUGCGCAUUAAUAAUAUUUCCAAAAAAGAAAAGAAAUGAAAAGAUGAAAUUUUAUAUAUUAUGUAUAUGAACUUGGCAUUGAACCCAAUGAAAACGAUUAUAAAAAAAGUAGAAAAUUAUAUGAAAAAAAAACUGAAGAACUUACAAUAUACUUAACAAUGGAUAAAAAGUAAAGGAUAAAGUUAUGGAAAAAAAACGUUUAAAAAGAAAAUUUAUAAAGGAAAGUAGUUUUAAUUUACACGUUAAUGUAUUGCUUCACUACCAGAGGUAUGGCCGUGUUUAGACACCCAAUAUCACCAAUAAAUUUAAUUAAAAAAAAAAUUGCAACUUUCAUUAGAACAUAACUUUCCAUUGAGCGGAUAUGAAUUGUUUUACUUUCUAAAUAAUAAAAAAAAAAGAAUCAUUAACUACCGCUAACGUGGUGACGAGACAAAAAAAAAACAAUUGUACUGAACACCUUAAUCUCCUGCAUUUAGAUCCUUUACACAUAUCCUUCAUCUCACUGACAGCAAUCCACACACGAAACACACGGAAACACCCAUUUAUAUACACACACACAAUUCACAAUAAAGUAAAUUUUUGUAUAGACAAAAGUGCAAAAGAAAAAAAAUAUAAAAAAAAAAUUAAAAGCUCAGGGCAUCUCAAAUUCUUCCAUAUACAAAGCAAAAUGAAAUGAAAAAUAUGCAAUAGAACCAUAGGUUUUUACAGUUUAUGAAAAGAGAAAAAAAAGAGAAAAAAAGUUACAACAAAUUCAAUUCAUUGAAACAAAAUAGAUCAAUUUUAUUGUUACAAUAUUUUUAUUUACAGAAAUAAUAUACAAAUUCAGUUGAAACAAUUAACCAAUUUACUGAUCACCAGAAUAUACAACAAAAUACAAUUCCAUUAGUGUUCUUACCACAAAACAUUUUUUUUUUCUUUUUGAUAAAUGAAAAUAAUUAAAGAAAAAAACUUAAGGAAGAAAUCGUAACGAGAGAAUGAAAUUUUGACCGAGCACGAAAAGUUACGAAAAGAAAGUGGUGUCUGAAAUGCAAUUAUACCUGGGACCGGGUAAUGUCUUAUACCUACUUGGAGGACUCUCGUCAUUUCGUGGCUUUGUCCCAGCUUUGCAUCAUGUAAUUUUUUGUUAGUGUAUAGGCUACAAAAGCGAAAUAAAUCGUCCAUAACCAAUACACACACAACUAUGACGUCACAUUAGGAUUUUGUGAACCGUAUUCACUUCAACAGAUGCCAUAUCUGGUCGAUACAACGAAAAGGGAUUGUGAGAAUGCAAAUGCUGACCGUAAGUUGAAGCGUUUCUUGACUGAACCGAACUAUAAACAAAUUCAAAUUACGAGUGUACGCUUAAAGCGUUGAAAGAAGUGCUGGAAGCACUCAUUCAUCUAAAUGGUUUAAAUAAAUUUGUUCUCAUUUUCACCUUUUGUCAGCAAUUUUCCCAUUGCUGAAUUUUCAGAUUUUUUCAAGUUCACCAUGAACAAACUAGUAACAGCAUGCCAAAAUUUAUUUAGAAGAGAAAAGUAACUAUACCUUAUCCAUUGACCACGAUGGCAUAAAUGUUUUCUGUAGCUCAAAUCUUUGUGUCGAAUCACUCGAACCUAUGUUACUCGACAUCAGCGUCAGAUUUACAGUGAUACACAUACCUUUUGUGAACGAAACGGUGAACUACUAAAAAUCAUGAAUCAUUUGUUAUUGACAGCGAUGCUUUCAGAAAAUGAAAUGAAAGAUUUAAUACGAUUCCAUUUGUCGCAUAAAGAUCUAAAUACACUGUCAGUAGAUAGGCUUGAAAACAAAAUCCAGUUUACCAGAAAUUCUCACAUCUAUCAAAAUUCAGAGCAAAUAAACGUGUGCUAAAUACAUUCCUUAUCUUAAUUACGAACAUUGUUAAACUUGUGUGAUUUCUUUGUUUAAUUCCCCUUGAUCUUUUCGUUUCGCCGAAAAAUUAAUUAGAUGGAGCUGGAAAAUUAAACACGUGGACAUAUAAAGAUUGUAUGCUUCAUUUUUCAACAUUUUUCGUUCUUCAUACAAGAAAAAUUAAUGAAAAUUCAGACAACUUUACUUCGAGAGCAAGGGAUUUUUGAAAGAUGCAUUUCCUCUUUACGAAAUCUUUUACUUCAUUCGUUUUGUCAAACUUUACCAUAAUAUUUGAUGUCGAUAGGUGUUGAGUAGGCGUUUCCAAAAAUGUAAUAUUUUUGGGAAGUUGCAAGUAAAUUUUACAGGAAGUCAUGAGUCCGGGCAUAAUAGACUUUCACAAUUUACCAACUUCUUUUUUGAUAACUUUUCUUGUUGAUUUUUUUUUUUCUAAAAUUAGGACAAAAACCUCGACAAACUUAAUUUUAAUUUGAUUUUACCUCUGACAAACCCUAUUCAUCAAUAUUAACAGUAUAACAGAAAUAAUAACCACAAACAUAAUUUGAGUGCCAAGCUAAAUAAUUCAAAAAAAAGAAGAAAAUCUCAUACUAUGAGUCACUUUUUUUGGUUAAGUAAUUGUUUAAAUAAAAACGAGAGGAAGACGAAGAAGAAGAAGAAGAUAAAUCAGAGAGUCAGAGAAUAAGAGAAAAUAUUUAAUUUCAACAACAAAGCAAAUAUGUAUAAAAGUGGAUAUAGAACCAAUUUUUUAUAGUUUUUAUACAUAAAAUUAAGCAUUAAAAACUAUAAUAGAAAAAAGUAAACAUUAAUUUGCAGAAAAAAAAUUAAAUGAAAAACAUAAAUUAAAAAAAAAUAAUAAAAAUUAAGAAAAACAAAUAAAAAUAUUAAUGUACACUGUAGUGCCUACCCCAAAAAAAAUUAAUAAAAAAUUGAAAAAAAUCUUAGAAGCUAAUGAAAGAGAAAAAAAUCAUUGCGAUGGGAGUCAUUAUUUCGAUUUCGGUGUCAAUAUCAGUUCUUUUCAAUUUCUUGUUCAGACGCUUUUAAACGACAAAGAACGCAAAUUAUUAUGAAA